AGCUCUAAUAGCGUAUAUUUAAGUUGUUGCGAUUAAAAAGUUCGUAGUUGUAUUUUGGGCACACCCAUUGGUCCAUUCUUUAAGGAUGAGUAUCAAUGUGGUAUGUUUUAAAACGCGAACCAUGCUCUUGGGCUUUAUUGCUCGGGAUAUGGGGUGUGUGAUGUCACUUUGAGUAAAAUAGAGUGCUUAAAGUAAGCAUAUGCUCUGUAUAUUUUAGCAUGGAAUGACAUGAUAGGAUUUCCGUUCGUGUGUUCGGUUUACGAUACGGUGGUAAUGAUUGAUAGGGUCAAUUAGGGGCAUUCUUAUUUCAUUGUCAGAGGUGAAAUUCUUGGAUUAACGAAAGAGGAACAAAUGCGAAAGCACUCGCCAAAGGUGUCCUCG
rnacentral:rRNA from 1 species